rnacentral:tRNA from 1 species
GAGUGUACAGCUCAGUGGUAGAGCGUGUGCUUAGCAUGCAAAGGUCCUGGGUUCAAUCCCCAGUACCUCCA